rnacentral:tRNA from 1 species
CCUCCCGUCGUUCAAUGGAUAGGACGCGAGAUUCCGGAUCUCGUAAUACAGGUUCGAAUCCUGUCGGGAGGA